CCUAUUUUGAAUUCCUACUUACGAAACGUCUUAACCCUAGCCGACAAUCACUUCAAAAUCACUCAAACCUUACACUCAUAAUCUUCCUCUCAUUCUCUACAAAUUGCAUCGUGGUGAGGUUGUUUUCAUUCUCCAUCCGCCUAAAUUAAUCUCUGGAAUCUGGCAAGAUGUAACUAUUCUUCGUUGUUAAUCGACCCGACUAUUGUUCGUGCUUCAGAGGCGAACCAAGAUUAGUUGCUUGUCGGUAUCACGUGGAUUAGCAAGCAG